rnacentral:rRNA from 1 species
UACGUAGGGGGCUAGCGUUGUCCGGAAUCAUUGGGCGUAAAGCGCGUGUAGGCGGUUCGGUAAGUCCGCUGUGAAAGUCGGGGGCUCAACCCUCGAAUGCCGGUGGAUACUGUCGGACUAGAGUUCGGAAGAGGCGAGUGGAAUCCCGGUGUAGCGGUGAAAUGCGGCAGAUAUCGGGAGGAACACCUAUGGCGAAGGCAGCUCGCUGGGACGUUAACUGACGCUGAGACGCAAAGCGUGGGGAGCAAACAGG